GUCUCUCGCGCUCUCCUUCUCCCACUGCGUCAUCGCAACCCGACGCUUCGCUUAGGGUUUCGAUUUCGUCGAUCAUCUGAUCCUUCUUCAAUCGAUUGAACGGGAUCACUGUGUUGUCGAGGUCAUGAAUGGAGAUCGUCGCUCUGAAAACGAAAGCCAGAAGUCGACCGCGCGUGCGGGCUCCUGCCGGAGCUGGUUUUCGCUCAUUUCGGAGCUCCGACGCUCGUUCGGCCCCCGUAACAAUCCCUCGAUCGGGUCAAGGCAUCGCUCUCCCCACGAGUUAGAUUCGUAGAUUCGAAUGGCUUCGCCUGUUGGUUUGAUUCUCGACUCGGGGCUCUUCGCAGCGUUUUCUUUAGUAAUGUCGAUUUUGGAUUAGUUAUCUGCAGAAUUUUAGUGCUUUUUUGGCAUUCCUGUCGGGAAGUUUCGUUGCAGAGCAACGUAAUGUGAAGCAAUCGCAGAAGUACUUUUGUUUUGUGAAUUGGUGAAUUGUCUUGCCCUGCUUAAUUCUUACCUUCAAUUUUUGGUGCUUUUUGAUUUGUGGAAGAUGUUGAUUGUUUUCCUUGUUUUUGCCUGUCGGGCUUCCAUUGCUGUGUUACGUUAGUUUACCUGGAGACAGACCGGGCACGUUGGGCAGCCUGGCUGCCAUCCUUUUGAUAAGGGGUUUUCUCUUGUACCUGGAUCUGUUAUGGAGUUCCGUGUGGAGAUUAGGAAUAUAAUUUUGUUCUGUUAUUGUACUUGAAUAGGUUAGAAUUCAGUGCAAUUAGCAACAGGUAUCGACUCUUAUCCAUGAAUCUAGCGUCCUUCUUCUCAAUAUAUAUCUAUGGAGCAUGCACACUAGAGCCACAACAACAGAAAAAUGAGACUUCUUGUUAUGAGAAUGAGCUAAGAAAGGUAUUUAUUUUUUUAUUUUGUUAAGAAAUUGGGAGCAGGAAGAGAGUUAGGCUUGCUGAUCAUUGUGAGGAGAACUGCUUAGGCUUCAGGGAAGAUGAAGCUACAACUCAAGAAGGAGCUGGUGUUCGAAUAUCUGAUGUCCCAAAGACCUCUGAGUAUGCAUUUUUCAAGAAAUUGAAGGAGAACAAAGGUCACAGAUUUAACUCCCGUUCCGUGCAAAAUGAGGCCACUCCAAUUACGAAGUUCAUAUCUGAUCACAAUCCCAGCAGUAGCAAGUACCCAUGUGAUCGAUGGCAUCCAUAAGGAAUCUGGGUUGUCACUGCUUCACCAGGAUGUUACACCUAAGAAUUUCACCUCACUUCAAGCUCCAGCCUGUAGUGUUUCCAGAAAAUCAGGGACUUCGUAUAGCUAUAAGUGUGGUGAAGUCUUUCCUAUGAAGAGGGAGAAUCUACUAUUGUGGGUCAAAACUACCUCCUUUCCUGAAAUUGACGAACUCUUAUCAAAGGGGAUUCUACAAAUCUUGAUAGGAAGCAACUUGACUCCAGCAUGAGCUCUAAACUGCAUGCUUACCCUCAGUCUGGUAUUCAGUUAAAAGAGUUUAAUCAUAAUUGCACAUGGGACUUUCUGGAAGCUGAAGGUGGACAAUACUUGUACUGUUCUCUGUCUUCUGGGUGGCUAAAUAAAUCUAUGGAAAGAAUUAUCCCAGAUUAUCUUCCAGCUGUUGCUGCCCUCAAGACUGUUACUUGGCAGGAAUAUGAGGUAACUAAAGGACAAUUAGAGAACUGAAUAGCUCCAUCUCCUUACUUUCCAAAAAUUCUGCUUCAUUCCAAUAUCUGAUAUAUACCUCCAUUUCAUUUGGUUUGUCCAAGAUGAGUUCCAAGCUCCAAACAAAUCCUUGAUUGAAGAGGAGACACGUAAUUCAGAGUGGGGAUGGGUUCUUGAUAAUAAGAAUAAUGAAAGAGACUUAAACUUAGUUUAUCAAAGUAGAGAGCUUACUACUGCACCGGCAUUGCUGACUUACUGGUGCGAUGAUCGCCAGCAGACUCUAGAAUCUGGGUGCGGUGGGAGGGAAUUAUCUGCAUUCUCUGUCUCGUCUCACUAUCCUUCAAAAUUUUGCCCAUCGCUGUGCCAUCCAACAAAGCUUUCACGACAAUGCUCUCGAAACGCAUUAUGACCCGCAGACACUACAGUCUAAGUUUGAUGGGAGUGAGUUGUCUGCAUUAUUUGUCUCAUCUCAUUAUCCUUCACAGUAUUGGCCAUCACAAUGCCAAUCGACCAGCUUUCACAAUAAUGAUCUUGAAACAUAUUAUGACCAACAUACUAUGGAAUCUGGGUUUGGUGGGAGAGAAUCACCUGCAUUCUGUCUCUUCUCAUUAUCCUAUACAGUUUUGUCCAUCACAAAUUCCGUCAACCAGCUUUCACGACCAUCAUUAGGAAACACAACAUAACAGGAAGGAAGAUAAUGCGAUUUUUAGUGAUCUUCCUUGUUCUUUAUCACUCGAUUUUUAUAAUUCUCGUCAGGCUGAAGAUCACGAUUUUGAUGACUCAUAUGCAGUGCUUUCACCUCCAGAACAGGAUCAGUUCACCAAAAAGGGCUUCAGUGAGAGACAUUAUCAUCCUCUAACCGAUGGUUUUAUGCACUCCCUCAAAUGCGAUUCUGAUUUGAGAAUGAUGUGCUUUUCAUCUCCCGUAUCUUCACUGGGAGAUCAUAUAUUCACUGGUUACACCCAUCGAUCUCCUCAAGUUGGAGAAGUAUUGUUGUCCUUCCUAUGUGGGGAGGAUUGGUAUAAAAGACUCAAAAAGUUCCAUUCAGAUGGACGCCUUCAAUGGUUUUAGCAGAAGUUUUAUCUACUCAAAUCUUUGACAGAGAAAAGGCUUACACUCUGCUUCCAGAUACAUCAAGCUCAGAUGAAGGACAGGUGACUGUUCAAGGAAGCAAAAUCUGUAAGUUCGAUGCAUCCUGGCAUUUUUAGUUCAACUCCUGUGCUUCACUUUUGUGUGGUUGUGGCUUGUUAGUUGUCAUAACCUUGCAUUUGAGUUUUGAUUUGACAAUAUCCAUACUAGAUAAUCCUCUCGUCGAACUGACCUUCAGAUGUACGGAACUAUUGAGGAAACUAACAACCUAGACGCAGAUUCUCA